CCUACGGGAGGCAGCAGUGGGGGAUAUUGCACAAUGGGGGAAACCCUGAAGCAGCGACGCCGCGUGAGUGAAGAAGUAUUUCGGAAUUUAAAGCUCUAUCAGCACGGAAGAAAAUGACAGUACCUGACCCAGAAUCCACGGCUAACUCCGUGCCAGCAGCCGCGGUAAUACGUAGGGAGCAAGCGUUAUCCGGAUGUACUGGGUGUAAGGGGAGCGUAGUGGGUUGUGUAAGUCCGGAGUGAAACCCCGGGGCUCAACCCCGGGACUGCUUUGGAAACUGUGUAACUGGAGUACAGGUGGGGCAGGCGGAAUGCAUGGUGUAGCGGUGAAAUGCGUAGAUAUCAGAAGGAACACCGACGGCGAAGGCAGCCUGCUAAGCUACAUCUGACGUUGAGGCUCGAAAGCGUGGGGAGCAAACAGGAUUAGAUACCCUAGUAGUC
rnacentral:rRNA from 1 species